rnacentral:rRNA from 1 species
GACGAACGCUGGCGGCGUGCUUAACACAUGCAAGUCGAACGAAGAGCGACGGAAGCUUGCUUCUAUCAAUCUUAGUGGCGAACGGGUGAGUAACGCGUAAUCAACCUGCCCUUCAGAGGGGGACAACAGUUGGAAACGACUGCUAAUACCGCAUACGAUCUAACCUCGGCAUCGAGGAUAGAUGAAAGGUGGCCUCUACAUGUAAGCUAUCACUGAAGGAGGGGAUUGCGUCUGAUUAGCUAGUUGGAGGGGUAACGGCCCACCAAGGCGAUGAUCAGUAGCCGGUCUGAGAGGAUGAACGGCCACAUUGGGACUGAGACACGGCCCAGACUCCUACGGGAGGCAGCAGUGGGGAAUCUUCCGCAAUGGACGAAAGUCUGACGGAGCAACGCCGCGGGAGUGAUGACGGCCUUCGGGUUGUAAAGCUCUGUUAAUCGGGACGAAAGGCCUUCUUGCGAAUAGGGAGAAGGAUUGACGGUACCGGAAGAGAAAGCCACGGCUAACUACGUG